rnacentral:rRNA from 1 species
UACGGAGGGUGCAAGCGUUAAUCGGAAUUACUGGGCGUAAAGCGUGCGCAGGCGGUUUGUUAAGUCUGCUGUGAAAUCCCCGAGCUCAACUUGGGAAUUGCAGUGGAUACUGGGAGGCUGGAGUAUGGUAGAGGAAGGUGGAAUUCCCGGUGUAGCAGUGAAAUGCGUAGAGAUCGGGAGGAACACCAGUGGCGAAGGCGGCCUUCUGGACCAAUACUGACGCUGAUGCACGAAAGCUGGGGGAGCAAACAGG